CGCUGCGGCUAAGUCCUCCGUGCUAAUCGGUUCGUCAAGUAUAUCUGCUGUCUCAGGGUUCAUCCGUUUCCGCACGUUGUCUUGCAGGUAUGUUUGUAUGAGUGAGGACGUUUCCCGUCUAUGGGCUGUGUCCUCUGGUGGGUAGAGGUUAUAGAGGGAGUUGUAAUAUUCCCGGAAUUCACCUGCUAUUUCCUCAGGAUAUGGUGAUAUACUGCCCGUUGAUAAGCAAAGUUUCCUCACUUGAGUGCGUGGUGUGUCUCCUCUCAGUAGGCGGGCGAGGAAUUUCCCACCUUUAUUUGCAUGGGUGUAAAAGAAGGACCUCGAUCUUUGGAGUGAGCGGUGGUGUCUUUGCGUGAGUAGGAUCUGCAGAGUUCGUCUGGCUUCCAUCAGUUCACCAUAUGUUGAGGUUAGUUGGGAACGUUUGUGUUGGGAUUCCAGGCGUGUGAUGGAUUUAUACGCGUCUGCCAUCGCCCGGG